rfam:Schistosoma curassoni strain Dakar, Senegal genome assembly, scaffold: SCTD_contig0006863
GCACUGCUGAGGAGUCCCACACUAGGACGAAACGGCUUUCCAGUGC